UGAUUUCCAGACAAAAUCUCCCCUGAUAUAUCGAAUAAACCAAGACGCAGCACGCAGAUAAACUUGAAAUCACACUAGGGCUUCCUGUCGAGCUGAGACUCCUACAA